rnacentral:tRNA from 9 species
UGGCUCUGUAGCUCAGUUGGUAGAGCAAUGCAUUGAAGCUGCAUGUGUCGGCGGUUCGAUUCCGUCCAGCGCCAU